rnacentral:rRNA from 1 species
GAUGAACGCUAGCGACAGGCCUAAUACAUGCAAGUCGAACGGAAGCAGCAAUGCUUUAGUGGCGAACGGGUGAGUAACACGUAGGGAACCUACCUAUACGACGAGGAUAACUACUGGAAACGGUAGCUAAAACUGGAUAGGAUCAAUUGAGGCAUCUUGAUUGAUUUAAAGAUCCUUCGGGAUUACGUAGAGAUGGCCCUGCGGCGCAUUAGCUAGUUGGCGGGUAACGCCCACAAGGCACGAUGGAUAGGGGAACUGAGAGGUUUAUCCCCCAACUGGUACUGAGACACGGACCAGACUCCUACGGGAGCAGCAGUGAGGAAUAUUGGUCAAUGGACGCAAGUCUG